GUCUUUCUGAAGAAGGUCACUCAGGGCUCUGCAGUGGCACAACCUCUGGAAUGAUGGGUUUGUUCUGACUCUGCAAUGAGCUGCCCAUCCAGGGGUGCCUGUGUCACCCAGGUGAGUGCUGAACUCCUGCCUGGACUUUUCAUCACCUUAAAAAUGGGACAAAGAUGCUCUUCACCCACAGGCUUGUGACUCCUGCAUUUUCUGACAGUCUGAUAACUCCAGUGGGAUAUGUAAAAUGAAUUGCCAAAACCUGCCAGCCUGAGCAGAAUCAGUACAAAAGGUGCUACACAGAACCUUCAGCCUCAAAGGUAAACAGGAGCAAACUCUGCAUUCUUGUGGUUGCUCUUGGGGGUCAAAGCAAUAAAUACUCUGUUUUCCCUGCUUGAAGUUUCUCUUUUCUGUAGGAAUGUGAUUUUGCUUUCGAAAAAAGCUUUAAUUCUUCUUCCUUGUGAAAACAAAUUUCAUCACCAACCCAUAAAUAAUCACAGGGAAAAAAAAAUAAUAGCAGCCUAAUUUACAUCUAACCUUUCUUUUUAAUGAUUAAUGGGUACUAUUUAUGUAAACUGUUUCUACAUUCCGGCGUGAAAUGAAAUUUAAAUUGCAAAUUUUACAGUGGUGUAUUUUAACUGGUGACCCUUUCCCCAGUCACAAAUUAAAAAAAAACCCAAUUACAUUUGUAAUAAAGAUGCUAAUGCAUUUCUUGGUUUUAGGGCACGUAAAGUUCUUGCUGCCUGCAACUUUUAUUUUCCCCGCCGAUGAGCCAAUAAAAAAUGUAUUUUCCAAAGAGCUCCAAGAUAUGUGGGUGUGGUGGACGAAGAGGAAUUCUCAGCACUUCCACUUUGCAGCAGCAUUCAUGGGCAAGGAAACCUGUGGUGUCUCUCACUGCCCACAGCCCUGGGAUGGAAAGUAGGUUUUCAACACCUUCAAGGCACCGAACCUUCUCACCGAGCAGCCCAAGGGCUCCUCAGCAGCUGUGGUGACUCAGUCCCUCAGUGCUGGUGUGGAAGAUGCUGUUCUCUGCUUUCUGCAGAGCUCCAAGUGUAGCUCUUGGCUUGGAUCCCCUUCAUCCAGGGCUGCCAGAACUGCAAGGAGAGGAGCUCCCAGCUGGAACACCACGCAGGUCCCUGGAGACUCUCUCCAAGUUAUUUGUAUCCCACAGAGCUUUUGAUUUAGGGUCUUGGAGGCAAUUCCAGCCUAUUAAACAGUGAUUUCUUUCUUUUGCUUCUAAUGGCACUCAGGACCCUCUUUGGGGGUAAAAAGAAGGUGUUUUGGUAACUCGUUGUCGCUUCAUAUGACCUCAAGGAGGACCCAGAAGGUGGAGAGGAAGGACUGGAGUGUUUUCCUGUGUCUCAUCACAUCCAAAGCUGUGUUCAGCUGAGACUUUCAAAGAAGUAAAAUUAUGCUGGAGAUGAAGCUUGUCUUGUGGGCAUUGCACUUCAAAAAAUCUUCAAAGCAUCUGAAACAAAGAUGAAAACAUUAACAUGAAAAACAUCCAAACAACAAUAACGCAACAUGUGAUAUUUAAAAAGCCAAAUCAAAUGCCAGCUGCAUCAUUCCAGGCUCCUGAAGAACACCUGCAGCAGGGAAAGAAGCUGGACAGGAAGAGUUUGGAAGGCAUUUUGGUUCUGUUAAUUAACUCAUCAGUUAAGAACCCUGAGGAGGGGUGUGGGUUGUUGAAGCCCUCGGGGAGUGGCAGAGUUUGCUGUCCCCUUGUCAUUUCUGGGCUGGUCUCAUUUGUGCUCAGCCUUUAUCAGCAGGGCAGAUGGAAAUCAGAGCUUGCAGGAGCUGUAUUAUUAUUAUUGUUUUGUUUUCCAGCAGACAUAAAACCUGACAGUUCCCUGACAUUCCUGGCAAUUGAGGGCACAGACAUUUCGGGUUGCAACGUUUCUCUGCACAAAAAGCUUAAUAGACUUGACGUGAUUUUCCAUCUCUCCUUGUUUGAGAGGUGCAGGGGAGCCAGAGUGAGAUGUUAACUUCCACCAAGAAAAUCAGAAUCUGCCACUUGCUUUUUGAUCUGCUGCAUCACAUCCUCAAUUUCUAUCAACUGUCUUCGGUUGUGCUGAAAUAUGAUUGAACAUUCAUCUUGUUCCGUGGCUCUGGUGUGCAUAUAGCACAAGUGACUACAAAUUGAGAGCUUAAUACCACCUGUUACUUUUAUUUGCUAAAAAGGUACCAGUUUAUGCUGGUUUUCUUCAUAGGAGAAUAAAACUGGAGUUAAGCAUUGCUUUGGCUGAACAAAAUUCAAUAUAUUCAGGCUUUGAAUAGCCUAUUUUUUCUCUUUUUCUGUCCUUAGUUUUGUUUUUGUUUCAUUCUCAGCCUGCAGUAAAGUAGCAUCUUCAGCUCAUCGUGGGUAAAAGGUGAUCCAGGUGUUUGGGGUGUGGUAAUUCCACUGCUAAUCCCAGCAAAGGCUUGGAAAAGGGGAGGGAGCAGUGAGUCACUGACCCCUCAGCAUUCCCCAGUUUUCCCUUUUCCUCCUUGUGGUGCCUGGGUGAAUUUUUUACUGGUUUUAGUGCAAAAAUUCCCAGUGAGGUGAGUGUCACUUGUUAAAAGGAUUCACUGUCAUGAGCAUCCUUGCAGCUUCUCUUAUUUUGGCAGUUUUUAAAAUGGACUUUUUUUAAAAGCACAGUGGUUUCCCAGUGACAGGUUUAAUCACAUAGGGCUUUUUUUUUUUUUUUUUUUUUUUUUUUUUAUUGUGGGUAAAUAUAUCUCUUGUGAACAAGCACUGCAAAGCUGUGUGGAUACAAUUAGGGGGCAGGGUUUGGGCUUUAGGAGCCUUCCAGCCAGCAUUUAGUGAGCUGCACAAAGGGGUUUCAAAAGGAACUUGAUUUUUGUGGAUCAGCUUGUCCUGGCGAACCUCAGAGAAACACUCAGUGCACAGACAAAAUUCAGCUUUGCUGGAGCAAGGAAAAAAGCCCUUGGAGGGGGAUGAGGGAGCUGGAAAUGGGAGCUGGAAAUAGAAUUCAGUGAGGAUUCAGGUGGAGGAAAAAAGGGUUGCUGAGACUGGGAGGUGGAAGGAAGGAUUUGACAUCCCUGCUUUCUUCCCAGGCAACCUUUCAGUUCAACAUCUACUUGACCCUCAGGGCUCACAGCUUUGUGCCCUCCAGCCCAGGAAGGACCCAGAAAAAAAUGUUAAAGAAAAAAUAGGGGAAGAAUCUGUGGAGGGAGAGUGAGAAAAAACAGGGAAGUUUGGUGGGAAAGUCUGGAGUUUUCCAUUCUGGCAGCUGGAAGGUUCCUGGGGAGCUCAUCCUGUCAUAGAUUUACUUAAACAUCCUCUUCUUUUCCCAGCAGGAACUGGGAGGGAUGGAUGGACGGAUGGAUGGAUGGAUGGAUGGAUGGACAGCUCCAAGACAGAAGGGCUGGGGCUGCCAAUCCACAUUUCAUCACCGAAAGGAGCUGAACUUGUGAGUUCCAAGCUGUGCACUCAAAAUAAGGUGGUUGGUACAACCCCCAAAUUCCUGGUGGGCAGUAAUUUUCCUGACAUCCCCAAGAAUGAGUUUAAACAGGAGACCAUGAAUACCUGGAACAGAAAUAUGUGCUCCAGUGCCACAGAAAGGAGCAGCUGGAGGAAGGAGACUCUGCCUUUCUUACCCUGAUUUCUCCAUCUGAGGAGGCAACAGGCCUGGCUGCUGUACUUGUUUUAAGGGAAGGAAAGAGCCUGAACCAGCACCAGCUUGCACUGGAAAACUCAAGGCUGGGAUGAAGAAAAGUGCAUUUUUCAGAGCCUGAACUAACUGGGGGACAUGAGGUCAUGAAGGACACACCUUUACAAGGAACUAAAACACAGUUAACAAGGAUUUACCUCCUUUGUUUUCCAGAAACGCCAGGUUAAUUCAGGCUCUUGUUUCAGCUCAGAGGCUGAAGAAUUUCCUGGAUAUCCACAAUGCCCAGCGAGAGCUGGAGAUUCUUGGUGUUUAUAUGGAUUCACGGCUUCCCUGUUGAUUGAAUGGGUGUAAUCAUCAUUUUCCAAUAUGCAAAAAUUAAGGCCAAAUGCAGCCUGGUGCCUCCACUCUGAGCUAAUUGAUGCUGGCUUUAUGGAUUGUGUUUUCUUUGCUGAGGACCUUCUUGCUGAGCGCAUUUGACAAAUGAAAACACUUGCUGGGAUUUGAUUUCUCUGGCAAUUUUCUCUGUUUUCUUCCACUAGCAAUAUCAUAUUUUUGUUUGUGAAAGGGAGGGUUGUUGUUCAUCCUAGUUAUUUGCCAAAGUAAAAAUAACUGAUAUUGAGGACACAUUAAAAUGGAAGCAGGUGGAAAAGAGCGGCUCCUAAAAAACCAAAUAAAAACAUGAUUAGAGAAAAUUUUACAGACUUCUUGGUGGAAAACUACUUCAAGAAGAAAACUACUGUUCCAGAAGACAAAUGGUGAUAUAACUUGCUGGGAUAUUUGGCUUUUCUUAUAUUGCUGGACAUCUUCUAGAGAUAAAACACACUUUUAAGAAUUUACAAAUUCCAUUUAUUUGUGUUUCUCUGGUAAGUACAAGGUCCAGGUUGGGCUGGAAAUGCAGAGCAGAAGGCCCAGGAAUACCUGGUCUUAUUAGGAAGAAUAGGAUUAGGAAGAUUAGGUAUUAGGAAUACCUGGGUUUAUUAGGAAGAUUAAGAGAUGGGAUAUAUUGGAAAAGCUGGAGUUUUCCAAGUUCCCUCUCCAACCCUGUUUUCCUGCCAGUCUUUAGGAAACACGAUUCCCAGUGUGGCCCUUGGGAGAUGGGUGAGCAGGACUAACAGGAGCUGGACUUAGUCUGUCCAGGGAUACUUUUGUAAAGGGAAAUAGCUCUGCCUUGGAGCUGGAGGUUUGAGUCUGAGACAUCAUUGUUCUGGUCUCACUGCCUGGGAGGGAAUGCAACCAGAAACAUUUAUUCCUUCUGGAAAAAAAUAGACUCAUCCAACAGAAUUUACAUGGAAUUGCCCACAAUAAAAGGAUAAACUGCAGUCAUUGCUUUUACAAGAUGACCUUCACUACUUGCAUUAAUCAUUCAUCUUGGUGUGGCCCACAAAUAUGAGUCAUAAAGGAGCUUUCAUUCAUCUAAAUGGCAUUUAGGCAUCAAAGGAAACUGAGGGUGUGCCUACAACAUCCAUUGGAACAUAGAAUCCUGGGAUGGUUUGGGUUGGAAGGACCUUAAAGCCCAUCCAGUUCCACCCCCUGUCAUGGACAGGGACACCUUCCACUAGCCCAGGUUGCUCCAAGCCCUGUCCAACCUGGCCUUGGACGCUUCUUGAACAUUGUCUGGUGUUCCUAAAUAAUCAUGGAUAUCUAAACCAACUUGGUUUAUAAUUAGCCAGCCCAGACCUCACCACAGACUCCAAAAGCUUCCCAAAAACUUGGACGAUCCCCAUCCAGGUGCCUCUGCUCCAAGAUGUCCCUUGCUUGGGUUUUCCAGCCCAGGGCUGCAGACACAGCUCUGUUACACCCUUGUGCUUCCCCUCUUCCAAUAUCCAUCCCUCCCAUAAUCCAGGUGUUUUGGAGAACCUGUCCCAGGUGGGAGGGCACGGACCAACUCCCUUCUCCUCUAUCCUGCAUUCCAAGGGCUGCUUUUCCAGAGCCAGGACAAGGUGUCUCAGUCUAAUGAGACUGAAGUGUUUGCUAAGGAGGAUGAGUUAUGAGGAAGACUAAGCUCCUCCCUCCAAGCAAUUGUAAAUCCCAAAUUAAGAGGCUCUGGAGAACUUGGAACACUACCAGGCCCCCACUAUUUUCCCUCUUACCUCCUGGAUGAUCCCCGGGGAAGCUGAGGCUCUGAUCCCUAAAAAAAGGGCAGCAGGAUUCCUGGGAUACCUGUUUCACUCGGGAAUUUAUCCUUUCUUUCCAGGCUGCAAUCUUUCUUGCAGGUCGCCAUGGCCACGUUGAUCCGCUCGCCUUUCUGCGUGGAGAAGGGAAAAGUGGGAAUGUGUUAUCCCAAAUCCCUCCCAGACAUGUAAGAGGGAAAGGAGAAGUUGGGAAGCUCACAGGGGUGGUGUGGGUUCCCUUGUAGACCUCUCCCAAGAAUCCUUCCCCCAGGAUCCUGUCCAGCAUCACGUCCUCCCGGGAGACCAUCCCAGUGUAGUCUCCUCUGCCUGGGCCAUGAAAAGCAGGAUUGAGAGGUGGUCUGGCCUUGCUGGAAUCUCCAGGGAGGAGUUUGUACAACUCCUGCCUUUCCAGGAGUGCACAAAUCUACAGAUCGAUUUUAGGUUUUAAGGUUUUGGAGAGAGAAAGAAGCCAAACAGAAACAAAGCUUUUCAACCUGGCACGUGGCUCGGUGCCACCCACGGAAAUGAACUGGAAAUAAUCCCCUUCCUCUGAAAGUCUUGCUGGAAAGAUGCUUUCAAAUGCUCCUCACUGGGUAGGAAAACAGGAUUUAAAGGGAGAUAAAUGGAAGACACGUGUUUAUACAAAAAGCAAAUAACUUGGGAACUGGGAUACCCACGCUGGGAUACCCACACCACCCUAAAGGGAACUACUGGGACAGUGGUUUUGUUCUUUUUCUGAAGCUGAAGAAAGUGUCAAGAAGAUCAUUUCACCAGCGUGAAAAGCUAAAAAAUUUCUUUCUAAUCUUAGAUUUUAAUAAUGCAACGAAGAAAUAACUUUAAUAACAUUCUCAGAUACUGGCUCAGACUCUGAAACAUGAUUUAAGCUGUGCUACAGUGCAACGGGGCAUCUUUAAUUGUCACUCUCUAACGCUCUGUUAAGAAAAGUGUGAUUGAUGGCCUUUUAAUGUUCCUUAAUUUUUUUUCUUGAAAAGAAAAUAGAUUUAUUGGCAUACACUGGGGCCCAAGUUUUUCCACUAAGUAUGUCUGCAGCUACUUGGAAAUUUCAGAUGUAGUCAGAGCUGUUUUACAUUCCCUUUUAUUUAACCUCAUUAAGCAACCUUAAAGCCCUGGGACCUGACCUGGUAUUGCUGAAUUAAGAUUAUCUCUUGAAUUCCUUUAGUAAACCACACAUUAACCAAUCUAUAGAAAAAGUAGCAUUUUGUUACAGGCAAUUGAAAGAUGAAGUAAUUCAUAUUUCUGCAUUUCAUGCUGUUUGAAAGUCCAUUCAAAUAUUAUUGCCAGUGUUUGUACCUUCUCUGUGUUUUAAAGCAAAUUGAGAAGAAAGUCUAAUUAAAGAAAAAAAAAAGCUGUUGGAGAUAAGA